rnacentral:rRNA from 1 species
UACGGAGGAUCCAAGCGUUAUCCGGAUUUAUUGGGUUUAAAGGGUGCGUAGGCGGCGUUGUAAGUCAGUGGUGAAAGUUUGCAGCUUAACUGUAAAAUUGCCAUUGAUACUGCAGUGCUUGAGUACAGAUGAGGUGGGCGGAAUGUGUCAUGUAGCGGUGAAAUGCAUAGAUAUGACACAGAACACCGAUUGCGAAGGCAGCUCACUAAGCUGUAACUGACGCUGAGGCACGAAAGCGUGGGGAUCAAACAGG